rnacentral:rRNA from 1 species
UGAGGAAUAUUGGUCAAUGGGCGCGAGCCUGAACCAGCCAAGUAGCGUGAAGGAUGACUGCCCUAUGGGUUGUAAACUUCUUUUAUAUGGGAAUAAAGUUUUCCACGUGUGGAAUUUUGUAUGUACCAUAUGAAUAAGGAUCGGCUAA